rnacentral:rRNA from 1 species
AACGAACGCUGGCGGCGUGGAUAAGACAUGCAAGUCGAACGGGAUAUUAAUUGUAGCAAUACAGUUGAUGUUCAGUGGCGUAAGGGUGCGUAACACGUGGACAAUCUGCCGAGAAGUGGGGGAUAGCUCGUCGAAAGGCGAAUUAAUACCGCAUGCGGUUAGGGGCGACAUCGCUCUGACACCAAAGCCGGGGCAACCUGGCGCUUCUUGAUGAGUCCGCGGCCUAUCAGCUAGUUGGCGGGGUAACAGCCCACCAAGGCUAUGACGGGUAGCUGGUCUGAGAGGACGACCAGCCACACUGGAACUGAGACACGGUCCAGACACCUACGGGUGGCAGCAGUCGAGAAUUUUUCUCAAUGGGGGAAACCCUGAAGGAGCGACGCCGCGUGAAGGAUGAAGGUCUUCGGAUUGUAAACUUCUGUCAUUUGAGAACAAUGAUGCGGGAUUAACUGUCCCGUAUUUGAUAGUAUCAGAAGAGGAAGAGACGGCUAACUCUGUGCCAGCCGCCGCAGUAAAAC